rnacentral:rRNA from 1 species
UACGGGGGGGGUAAGCGUUGUUCGGAAUUACUGGGCGUAAAGGGCUCGUAGGCGGCCAACUAAGUCAGACGUGAAAUCCCUCAGCUUAACUGGGGAACUGCGUCUGAUACUGGAUGGCUUGGAUUCGGGAGAGGAGACUGGAAUUUACGGUGUAGCGGUGAAAUGCGUAGAUAUCGUAAGGAAGACCAGUGGCGAAGGCGGGUCUCUGGACAGUUCCUGACGCUGAGGCACGAAGGCCAGGGGAGCAAACGGG